AGCAGCCGCGGUAAUUCCAGCUCCAAUAGCGUAUAUUAAAGUUGUUGCAGUUAAAAAGCUCGUAGUUGAAUUUCGGGACUAAUAUGUCGGUCGUACUUUGUACGUACUAGCAUUAUUGGUUUCUCCCUUCUGACGAACCACGAUGUCAUUAAUUUGGUGUCGCGGGAAAUCAGGACUGUUACUUUGAAAAAAUUAGAGUGUUUAAAGCAAGCUCGCGCUUGAAUACAUUAGCAUGGGAUAAUGAAAUAGGACGUUUGAUUCUAUUUUGUUGGUUUCUAGGAUCGACGUAAUGAUUAAUAGGGAUAGUUGGGGGCAUUAGUAUUCAAUUGUCAGAGGUGAAAUUCUUGGAUUUAUUGAAGACUAACUACUGCGAAAGCAUUUGCCAAGGAUGUUUUCAUUAAUCAAGAACGAAAGUUAGGGAUCGAAGACGAUCAGAUACCGUCGUAGUCUUAACCAUAAACUAUAGCCGACUAGGGAUCGGAUGAUGUUAAUUUUUAAUGUACUCAUUCGGCGUCCUUAC
rnacentral:rRNA from 1 species